rnacentral:rRNA from 2 species
AAUGGCUCAUUAAAUCAGUUAUCGUUUAUUUGAUAGUACCUUACUACAUGGAUAACCGUGGUAAUUCUAGAGCUAAUACAUGCUACAAGCCCCGACUUCGGAAGGGGUGUAUUUAUUAGAUAAAAAACCAACGCCCUUCGGGGCUCCUUGGUGAAUCAUGAUAACUCAACGAAUCGCAUGGCCUUGCGCCGGCGAUGGUUCAUUCAAAUUUCUGCCCUAUCAACUUUCGAUGGUAGGAUAGUGGCCUACCAUGGUGUCAACGGGUAACGGGGAAUUAGGGUUCGACUCCGGAGAGGGAGCCUGAGAAACGGCUACCACAUCCAAGGAAGGCAGCAGGCGCGCAAAUUACCCAAUGCCAACCCGGCGAGGUAGUGACAAUAAAUACUGAUACAGGGCUCUAUCGGGUCUUGUAAUUGGAAUGAGUACAAUUUAAAUCCCUUAACG